rnacentral:tRNA from 1 species
GCUCUGUAAGCAAAGGAAUUGCAGCCAGCCUUGUAAGCUGGAACACAAGGUUAAACCCCUUAGCAAAGCA